rnacentral:rRNA from 1 species
AGGUAAGCUACUAAGAGCGAAUGGUGGAUGCCUUGACUGGUAAAGGCGAUGAAGGACGUACUAGACUGCGAUAAGCUACGGGGAGCUGUCAAGAAGCUUUGAUCCGUAGAUUUCCGAAUGGGGCAACCCAAUGUAUAGAGAUAUACAUUACCUAUAUAGGAGCGAACGAGGGGAAUUGAAACAUCUUAGUACCCUCAGGAAAAGAAAUCAAUAGAGAUUGCGUCAGUAGCGGCGAGCGAAAGCGCAAGAGGGCAAACCCAGUGCUUGCACUGGGGGUUGUAGGACUGCAAUGUGCAAGAGGUGAGUUUAGCAGAACAUUCUGGAAAGUAUAGCCAUAGAGGGUGAUAGUCCCGUAUGCGAAAAACAAACCUUAGCUAGCAGUAUCCUGAGUAGGGCGGGACACGAGAAAUCCUGUCUGAAGCUGGGUCGACCACGAUCCAACCCUAAAUACUAAUACCAGAUCGAUAGUGCACAAGUACCGUGAGGGAAAGGUGAAAAGAACUGAGGUGAUCAGAGUGAAAUAGAACCUGAAACCAUUUGCUUACAAUCAUUCAGAGCCCUAUGUAGCAAUACAGGGUGAUGGACUGCCUUUUGCAUAAUGAGCCUGCGAGUUGUGGUGUCUGGCAAGGUUAAGCAAACGCGAAGCCGUAGCGAAAGCGAGUCUGAAUAGGGCGCUUAGUCAGAUGCUGCAGACCCGAAACGAAGUGAUCUAUCCAUGAGCAAGUUGAAGCUAGUGUAAGAACUAGUGGAGGACUGAACCCAUAGGCGUUGAAAAGCCCCGGGAUGACUUGUGGAUAGGGGUGAAAGGCCAAUCAAACUUCGUGAUAGCUGGUUCUCUCCGAAAUAUAUUUAGGUAUAGCGUUGUGUCGUAAUAUAAGGGGGUAGAGCACUGAAUGGGCUAGGGCAUACACCAAUGUACCAAACCCUAUCAAACUCCGAAUACCUUAUAUGUAAUCACAGCAGUCAGGCGGCGAGUGAUAAAAUCCGUCGUCAAGAGGGAAACAACCCAGACUACCAGCUAAGGUCCCUAAAUCUUACUUAAGUGGAAAACGAUGUGAAGUUACUUAAACAACCAGGAGGUUGGCUUAGAAGCAGCCAUCCUUUAAAGAAAGCGUAAUAGCUCACUGGUCUAGUGAUUUUGCGCGGAAAAUAUAACGGGGCUAAAGUAAGUACCGAAGCUGUAGACUUGCGCACAACUUAGAUUAUUUAAGUUUAGAAUAUGAGAAACUAAGUUAUAUGUUUAGUUAUAUUUUUACUGAUUUUUAUAGAGUAAAGAUAGAAAUAAAACUUAGUAAAAUCAGUAAAAAUAUUCUUAGACUAAAGUUAAGUAGUUUAAGUUGUGUGCAAGUGGUAGGAGAGCGUUCUAUUUGCGUCGAAGGUAUACCGGUAAGGAGUGCUGGAGCGAAUAGAAGUGAGCAUGCAGGCAUGAGUAGCGAUAAUUAAUGUGAGAAUCAUUAACGCCGUAAACCCAAGGUUUCCUACGCGAUGCUCGUCAUCGUAGGGUUAGUCGGGUCCUAAGUCGAGUCCGAAAGGGGUAGACGAUGGCAAAUUGGUUAAUAUUCCAAUACCAACAUUAGUGUGCGAUGGAAGGACGCUUAGGGCUAAGGGGGCUAGCGGAUGGAAGUGCUAGUCUAAGGUCGUAGGAGGUUAUACAGGCAAAUCCGUAUAACAAUACUCCGAGAACUGAAAGGCUUUUUGAAGUCUUCGGAUGGAUAGAAGAACCCCUGAUGCCGUCGAGCCAAGAAAAGUUUCUAAGUUUAGCUAAUGUUGCCCGUACCGUAAACCGACACAGGUGGGUGGGAUGAGUAUUCUAAGGCGCGUGGAAGAACUCUCUUUAAGGAACUCUGCAAAAUAGCACCGUAUCUUCGGUAUAAGGUGUGGUUCGCUUCGUAUUAGGAUUUACUCCGAAAGCGAAGAAACUUACAACAAAGAGUCCCUCCCGACUGUUUACCAAAAACACAGCACUCUGCUAACUCGUAAGAGGAUGUAUAGGGUGUGACGCCUGCCCGGUGCUCGAAGGUUAAUUGAUGGGGUUAGCAUUAGCGAAGCUCUUGAUCGAAGCCCGAGUAAACGGCGGCCGUAACUAUAACGGUCCUAAGGUAGCGAAAUUCCUUGUCGGUUAAAUACCGACCUGCAUGAAUGGCGUAACGAGAUGGGAGCUGUCUCAAAGAGGGAUCCAGUGAAAUUGUAGUGGAGGUGAAAAUUCCUCCUACCCGCGGCAAGACGGAAAGACCCCGUGGACCUUUACUACAGCUUGACACUGCUAUUUGGAUAAGAAUGUGCAGGAUAGGUGGGAGGCUUUGAGUAUAUGACGCCAGUUGUAUAUGAGCCAUUGUUGAGAUACCACUCUUUCUUAUUUGGGUAGCUAACC